rnacentral:lncRNA from 1 species
AUCACCAUUACCAGGUGAAAGCACGAGUCCACCUUCUGUAACUGGAGGACCAUCUACAGCAGUAACCACCGGUCAACCUUCUGCAACAGGAACACCAUCUCCAGGUUUAAGCACUGGUCCACCUGCUGUAACUGGAGGACCAUCUACAGCAGUAACACCGGUCAACCUUCUGCGACAGGAACACCAUCUCCAGGUGUAACCACUGGACCACCUUCUGUAACUGGAGGACCAUCUACAGCAGUAACACCGGUCAUUCUUCUGCAACAGAAAACCAUCUCCAGGUGUAAGUACUGGUCCGACUUCUACAACUGCAGGACCAUCUACAGCAGUAACAACCAGACAAUCUUC